rnacentral:lncRNA from 1 species
AAGGCAUUCCUUUAGUUAGAUGGAGAAGUUAUCAGAAACCUGGGAGAAAAGAAAAUACUCAGAGAAAGCCUAAGCGACCGUAUACACUGGGAGCUGAGGGUCCAUUAGCUCUCCUUGCAAGGAAGCUUCAGUUUUCUCAUCUGGAAAAGGGGGAUAAUAGCAGAAGCCACCUCUUCAGACUAGGUGACCUGAAUCUGGCAGAAGCCUCCUCCAUCCAUCUUUUUAGAAGGACCCUCAGUUGCCAGAGCCAGUCUGACACCUUCUUCCAUACCAGCUGCUUCAGACCAGCCUGGGGGCCUGCUCUGGGGGUGGAACCAUUGUCAAGUUUCACCCAUCAGCUAAAAACAUGCCACUUGGAUUCAUUGCAGGGACUUUCUUAGUUGACGAGUGGGAGCAGAGGUCCCCAUAAUCAGCAGCUGGUUUGCUCAUUGCUGGGAAACACAGAAGACAGGUCGGUCACUGGACAGGGGGUGCAGAACCCAGCGCUGGAGUGCACAGAGGAUGCAGACACACACAGAGAGAAGAACGUGUAAGAUGUCCAUCUGCAAGACAAGGAGAGAGGCUUCAGGAGAAAGCAACCCUGCUCACACUUUGAUCACAGACUUGUGGCCUCCAGAAUGAGACCGUGAAUCCCCUGAUUGCUGACUCCCUGGUCCCAGCACUGUGCUGAUGAAUUCCUGAUGUCCACGGAGCUACUACAAGAUCUGAGAUUUAUAGCUCUGAAACUUCAGAAGAUAAUCGAGAUGAUACCUUUGGAUAAAGAACCUGAAUGUAUCAACUAGACUGUUUGAAAAGACACAUUUUAAUAAAUAACCUGAAUAUAUAAGCCAGAUUGUUUCAAGGGCUGUAGAAGAAACAUUUUAAAUCCUUUCUCUGAAAAAACUAUUAAAAACACAGAAAACGGGAUACUAAUAGAAACAAUCCAGAAAGGCUUAGCAGGACAACUCAGCAAAACAACACAUCAAUGACCACUUUUAACAGUCUGUGGAAGUCUUUUGCCAGUAAGGGAAGCCAUGGAGUUGUCCUUGAUGCUUUUGUUUUUAGUCCUGUAACCUAGUCAUUAAAACCUCCCAUGGAACUUUUGCUUGGUGGCAUCUUGGAUUGGGAGAAGACAACGGUCUUCUUGUCUGUCACCUACACAUGUCAACGGUUGAGAGCUAUAAAUCAGUACAUCCAAAAAAAUUGCUCUUUCCUUGAUGUAAUCCCAAACGUAUCCAACAUACAAAUGAAAUUAGCUUCCUAUAAUUUAGUUGUCUUGUUCACAUACCUCAAGAUAAGCUUCUUCCAAGACGCCAUUCCCAAAGAAUAAAAAUUAGAAGAUCAAGA